rnacentral:lncRNA from 1 species
GUCAGAUCUUGGGCCACAGAGGUUUGGUUACAGGGUGGCUGAAUGCUCCGGCAGGUCAGUUCUGAGGGGGAUUUGAUGGGUGGUCACACAGCGGGAUUUGCAUCCGCGCAACAACCACAGCAUUUUCUGUUCCCCUAUCAUUCCCGAUUCUACACCCAACAGCCUCCAGUAGGGGCCCUGAGCUCUGCUUUUGUGCUGAUGUCAUUUACAGACACUGCCUCUCAGCAUGGCUAACGCUCAGCAGUGACGGAGAAAUCAGACCCCAUGAAGAGGGAUUACUCCUCAUGUUAUUGUCCAUGCUAUAAUGCUGGAGAUGGGUGUCUGUUAACUACACAACGGCCGCAUUUCACCCUGACAGGGACGCCUGGACUCUUUUCAUUUUUUUCGCUGUGGAGCGCAACACGACCCCAGAUGAGAAUGCUAAAAGCAGCGUAUCCAAACAGAAGGCAAACCUUGAGACAUACUGGCUGAUCUGAUGUCGGUGCUAUGACACCCACUGCUAUCCCGACACUACUAUAUCACAGGUUACACUGGCUACCAGUAGCCACUCGCAUCAAAUUCAAGGUACUGAUGCUUGCCUACAAGACGACCACUGGUAUGGCACUAACAUACCUAAGCUCAUUAGUUCAAUCUUAUGCGCCCUCCAGAAGUUUGCGCUCUGCAAGUGAACGACGCCUUGUGGUGCCAUCCCAAAGAGGUUCAAAAUCACUCUCACGGAACUUUUCCUGGACUACGCCCAGCUGGUGGAAUGACCUCCCGAUCUCAAUUCGAACAGCUGAGUCUUUACUCAUUUUCAAAAAAACAUCUAAAGACUCAUCUUUUUCGCCAGCACUUAACCAACUAAUACUAGUACUUACCUUUUCCUUUCUUGUCUAUCAUAUUCUUAAAAAAAAAAAACCCUGGCUACAUGUUCUGUACUAGACUAACUGAGACUUGUCAUGGCACUUGUAUACCGUUGUUGUUCUCUUGUUGAUCUGAUUGCUUCUAUUGUUCUCAUUUGUAAGUCGCUUUGGAUAAAAGCGUCUGCUAAAUGAUUAAAUGUAAAUGUAAAUAUAAUAUACUGAACCUUACCAAUUUCCUUCCUUGCUUCAUUAAAGACAGUUAAUCCAUUUGAUUGAUUGAUUGAUUGAUUGAUUUGCAGUCUUAUCUAAUGUGCAACUCCACAGACCAUAACCACCUUCUCAUCUCUCAUCUCUCUCUCUCUCUCUUCUCUCUCUCUCUCUCUCUUCUUCUUCUUCUUCUUCUUCUUAUUGAUUGAUUGAUUGAUUUGCAGUCUUAUCUAAUGUGCAACUCCACAGACCAUAACCACCUUCUCAUCUCUCAUCUCUCUCUCUCUCUCUCUCUCUCUCUCUCUCUGUGUUUUAUUUCAUCACCUUCCCUCAUCCAAGAGAGUUUUCUCAUGAACACUUUUUCUCUGUCAUUUUAUCCCCACACGACCCUGGCCACUUCUGGCACUCAUGCUCUUUUUUCAAGGUGAUGAUGAAAUAAGCAAGCGUAAUUAAAAAACAUAUUGAAAAUUAUCCCAAUGUUUCUCUAGGUGACAAUGAGAGAGGUGAAGUUAUUAUACUCUUCCCCUCCUGCAGUGAAGGGGGAAAGGUAUGGACACUUAAAACCAGCAAGACAUGCCAUAUUUGUUUUUCUUCUUUUGGUUUUUUAAUUCGCCGGUGUCUGAUUUAUUAUCUGCUGUAGAUGGGGAGCAUUUUUCUCUGUCAGGGCCUGUUGGUCGGCUGCUCUAGUUCUUUAUUGCAUCCUCACGAUCAUGAGUUCAUGAGAUUUCGCUCCGGCUUCCCAGACUGCAGCAGGUCUCAUGUGUUCCCGCCAUUCUUUUUUCAUUAUUUUAUUGCAGCUCUGUUUAAGUGGAAUUAAUGCAAGCUUCUCAAAUCAUCUUGUCAGUGGUCUCCACAGACCGGCCCAUGUUAUGGAAAAAAGUUUAUGCUACUAGUAAUACUUAAAAGAUUCUGUAUAGUUAAAGCGACUGUUCACCCAAAAUGAAAACUGUGCUUUCAAUCUAUCAAAUUAUCAGUUUUCCGUUUCACAGCAGAAAUCAUAGAAGUUGAUGAUUUAUUUAUUUAUUUAUUUAUUUAUUUUUUAUUUAAUAAUUAUUAUUUAUUAUUUUUAGGCUUCAAAAAACACUUUGGUUAGUUUUUUUUUUAUUUUUUAAUAUACUAAGUUUAUUAUUUAUUUUUAUUUAAUAAUUAUUAUUUAUUUAUUUUAGGCUUACAAAAACACUUUGGUAGUUUUUUUUUUUUUUUAAUAUCUAAGAGUGGGAAAAAAGUGAUGUGACAUGUGGCCUAGUAUGGUGACCCAUAUUUGGAACUAGUGCUCUGCAUAUAUCCCAUCCAAAGUGCACACACACAGCAGUGAAACACACACACACCGUGAACACACACCCAGAGCAGUGGGCAGCCAUUUUUGCUGCGGCGCCCGGGAAACAAUUGGGCCAGUUCGGUGCCUUGCUCAUGGUAUUGAAGGUGGGAGAGAGCACUGUACAUUCACUCCCCCCACCUACAAUCCCUGCCGGUACGAGACUCAAACCCGCAACCUUUCGUUUUCGAGUCCGACUCUCUAACCAUUAGGCCACGACUUCCCUGUGUGUGUGGGUGUGUGUGUGUGUGUGUGUUUAUGAAUUUAUGAAUUUCUAUUUCAAAUAAAAGUUGUUCUUCAAAUUUUCUGUUCAUCAAAGAAACAUAAAAACACUU